rnacentral:rRNA from 1 species
UACGGAGGGAGCUAGCGUUGUUCGGAAUUACUGGGCGUAAAGCGCACGUAGGCGGCUUUGUAAGUCAGGGGUGAAAGCCUGGAGCUCAACUCCAGAACUGCCUUUGAGACUGCAUCGCUUGAAUCCGGGAGAGGUGAGUGGAAUUCCGAGUGUAGAGGUGAAAUUCGUAGAUAUUCGGAAGAACACCAGUGGCGAAGGCGGCUCACUGGACCGGUAUUGACGCUGAGGUGCGAAAGCGUGGGGAGCAAACAGG